rnacentral:lncRNA from 1 species
GCCGCUGACCCGCCGCCUCCGUCUGCCUCCUCCCGGGCUCUGGGCCCAGCGCGCCCAGAUGCCGGGCAGGACCCCUCCGCCCGCUGCUGGAACACCAAUAGCAGCGUUGGAGCCUCUGGGCCGGAGGAACUGGGGCCUCCACCGACACCUGCUUCUUCCCUCACCUCGCAGCCUUCCACACCUGUUGAUCUGACCUCUGCCCCGCUGCCGCCCAGGAGUAACCUAAGGCUUUUGGCCUGAUUCGAGCUCACUCCGUCUAAACCUCUAAAUGCGGUGCGAAAAAAUCCUGGGGAAUGUGCCAUGCAAAGCCUGGGCAUUUCAAGUGCUUUUCUGGAUUCGCAUCAACUCCUCUUUACAGGCAUCUUUAUCCGGAAUUCAGCUCGUCCCAAACCCCACGUGGUGUAGCUCUGCUUGUGUUUUUGAAUCCCGGGGCCUCUUUGAAUCAGAAGCCCUUUGUAUAGAGAUAAGUAUCCUUUAGGCCAGAAUCAGCCUCCAUUUUUUUCGCAGUCCCAUUUCCUACCCGUAAUACUUUCUUCUGAUUUUAAAGCCAUUUGAUAGAGAAGGGACAGGGAACAGAACCUUCGCCCCCCGCCUGAGCAGCUGGUAGACUAGAUAUCUUCCAAACAUUAUCUCAUUUACUUCCCUGGAGUUACAAAUAGGUAGAUUUCAUGUCCGUUGAGGGGUGAGAAAGCUGAAACUUUGAGACUUAAGAAUCCUGGCCGAGGUCAGCCUCCUCCGAAGCUUCAUCUCUUGCCACCACUUUCUGGUGCACACCUAGGACAGAUUUCAAUCCCUGAGAUCCCAGGAUGAAACCUAUGUUUGCCAAAUACCAGCUACUGUGCCAGAAGAGAUCAUGGAACCAGGUGUGGAAAGCUGCUUGAGAAGAGGAGCCAAAACAUCAUAGUUGAACCGUCCUGGAAUAGAAACUCGCCCUGAAUUCUUUCUUGUGUGAAAUCCAAGAGCCCUCUCUUGGGGUUGGAUCGGGACCCUGUUCCUGUAACAAGUCCACAAUGCCAGAGAAUUAAAGAGAACCACAAAGCAAGACCAACUCCCCUUCUUCCACCUUCCCAACCUACUCAAUGUGAAGAUGAUGAAGAUGAAGACCUUUGUCAUGAUCCACAUCCACUUAAUAAAUGCUGAACCUCAAAAAGUUAGCCUGGCGAGGGGAGGAUGAUGAGAUUUCCCCUGUUGUCACAUAAACAAGGAAGUAAAGGGGGCCCCUUGUGCUCUCAGAACUCCAAGCAUGAAACGAUAGCAAAGGGAAAAACAGCUAAGUGUUUCCUGGCUGAAUUUUAUUUUGCUUUCAGUUUCUGCCAUUUCAGUUCCUGUUAUCGUGCUUUGAGGUGCACUGAACUGCAGCAAACCCAGGGGAUCCAAGGCUACGUUGAAAAGCCUUUGACCACAGUGCAGGGAGCAGAAGACAUUAAUGACGUGAUGUCGACACAGCCCGCACUCAGGAUCCUCCAGGAAAAGAACACA